rnacentral:tRNA from 1 species
GGGUCGAUGCCCGAGUGGCUAAUGGGAGCAGGGGGCGGACUGUAAAUUCGUUGGCAAGAUGCCUACGCUGGUUCAAAUCCAGCUCGGCCCA